GAUGAACGCUGGCGGCGUGCUUAAUACAUGCAAGUCGAACGAAGAGCCCUUAACCGAAGAUGAUGACGUGCUUGCACUGAAUCUGAUUCACCUUAGGGUUACUGAGUGGCGGACGGGUGAGUAACGCGUGGGUAACCUGCCUUAGACAGGGGGAUAACAUCAAGAAAUUGGUGCUAAUACCGCAUAUGCUCACAGUAUCGCAUGAUACAGUGAGGAAAACUCCGGUGGUCUAAGAUGGACCCGCGUCUGAUUAGCUAGUUGGAGGGGUAACGGCCCACCAAGGCGACGAUCAGUAGCCGACUUGAGAGAGUGAUCGGCCACAUUGGGACUGAGACACGGCCCAAACUCC
rnacentral:rRNA from 1 species